rnacentral:rRNA from 1 species
GUCUCUCUUGAGUGGAUCCUGAGUACGACGGAGCACGUGAAAUUCCGUCGGAAUCUGGGAGGACCAUCUCCUAAGGCUAAAUACUCUCUAGUGACCGAUAGUGAACCAGUACCGUGAGGGAAAGGUGAAAAGCACCCCGGAAGGGGAGUGAAAUAGAACCUGAAACCGUGUGCUUACAAGUAGUCAGAGCCCGUUAAUGGGUGAUGGCGUGCCUUUUGUAGAAUGAACCGGCGAGUUACGAUUUGAUGCAAGGUUAAGCAGUAAAUGUGGAGCCGUAGCGAAAGCGAGUCUGAAUAGGGCGUUUAGUAUUUGGUCGUAGACCCGAAACCAGGUGAUCUACCCUUGGUCAGGUUGAAGUUCAGGUAACACUGAAUGGAGGACCGAACCGACUUACGUUGAAAAGUGAGCGGAUGAACUGAGGGUAGCGGAGAAAUUCCAAUCGAACCUGGAGAUAGCUGGUUCUCUCCGAAAUAGCUUUAGGGCUAGCCUCAAGUGAUGAUUAUUGGAGGUAGAGCACUGUUUGGACGAGGGGCCCCUCUCGGGUUACCGAAUUCAGACAAACUCCGAAUGCCAAUUAAUUUAACUUGGGAGUCAGAACAUGGGUGAUAAGGUCCGUGUUCGAAAGGGAAACAGCCCAGACCACCAGCUAAGGUCCCAAAAUAUAUGUUAAGUGGAAAAGGAUGUGGCGUUGCCCAGACAACUAGGAUGUUGGCUUAGAAGCAGCCAUCAUUUAAAGAGUGCGUAAUAGCUCACUAGUCGAGUGACACUGCGCCGAAAAUGUACCGGGGCUAAACAUAUUACCGAAGCUGUGGAUUGUCCUUUGGACAAUGGUAGGAGAGCGUUCUAAGGGCGUUGAAGCAUGAUCGUAAGGACAUGUGGAGCGCUUAGAAGUGAGAAUGCCGGUGUGAGUAGCGAAAGACGGGUGAGAAUCCCGUCCACCGAUUGACUAAGGUUUCCAGAGGAAGGCUCGUCCGCUCUGGGUUAGUCGGGUCCUAAGCUGAGGCCGACAGGCGUAGGCGAUGGAUAACAGGUUGAUAUUCCUGUACCACCUAUAAUCGUUUUAAUCGAUGGGGGGACGCAGUAGGAUAGGCGAAGCGUGCGAUUGGAUUGCACGUCUAAGCAGUAAGGCUGAGUAUUAGGCAAAUCCGGUACUCGUUAAGGCUGAGCUGUGAUGGGGAGAAGACAUUGUGUCUUCGAGUCGUUGAUUUCACACUGCCGAGAAAAGCCUCUAGAUAGAAAAUAGGUGCCCGUACCGCAAACCGACACAGGUAGUCAAGAUGAGAAUUCUAAGGUGAGCGAGCGAACUCUCGUUAAGGAACUCGGCAAAAUGACCCCGUAACUUCGGGAGAAGGGGUGCUCUUUAGGGUUAACGCCCAGAAGAGCCGCAGUGAAUAGGCCCAAGCGACUGUUUAUCAAAAACACAGGUCUCUGCUAAACCGUAAGGUGAUGUAUAGGGGCUGACGCCUGCCCGGUGCUGGAAGGUUAAGAGGAGUGGUUAGCUUCUGCGAAGCUACGAAUCGAAGCCCCAGUAAACGGCGGCCGUAACUAUAACGGUCCUAAGGUAGCGAAAUUCCUUGUCGGGUAAGUUCCGACCCGCACGAAAGGCGUAACGAUUUGGGCACUGUCUCAACGAGAGACUCGGUGAAAUCAUAGUACCUGUGAAGAUGCAGGUUACCCGCGACAGGACGGAAAGACCCCGUGGAGCUUUACUGUAGCCUGAUAUUGAAAUUCGGCACAGCUUGUACAGGAUAGGUAGGAGCCUUUGAAACGUGAGCGCUAGCUUACGUGGAGGCGCUGGUGG